rnacentral:rRNA from 1 species
GACGAACGCUGGCGGCGUGCCUAAUACAUGCAAGUCGAACGAGAAUUUCUUACACCGAGUGCUUGCACUCACCGUAAGAAAUUCGAGUGGCGGACGGGUGAGUAACACGUGGGUAACCUGCCCAAAAGAAGGGGAUAACAUUUGGAAACAAAUGCUAAUACCGUAUAACCAUGAUGACCGCAUGGUCAUUAUGUAAAAGGUGGUUCUGCUAUCGCUUUUGGAUGGACCCGCGGCGUAUUAACUAGUUGGUAGGGUAACGGCCUACCAAGGUGAUGAUACGUAGCCGAGUUGAGAGACUGAUCGGCCACAAUGGGACUGAGACACGGCCCAUACUCCUACGGGAGGCAGCAGUGGGGGAUAUUGCACAAUGGAGGAAACUCUGAUGCAGCGACGCCGCGUGAGGGAAGACGGUCUUCGGAUUGUAAACCUCUGUCUUAGGG